ensembl:lncRNA
GUAUGUAAAACUACAUAAGACCAUUCUAACCAAAAAUAUAAUUUACCGGAAAAAUACCUCGGAAAAUUCUAAAUAAAUGAAGCCCGCGGACAAUGCAUAUUUGAAUUGUACCGUAGUUAAGUUGGAGGUACCCUGGCGGUGGUCCAGUUUAGAGAAAAUGACGCGUGGAACUGGGCGGUGAGCUCCUCUGUCAUGGACAAAGUAUCAGUUGGUCCCUUAUCAUUUCGUCCUGUAACGCCCCGUACUUGCACAUGGUAGCCAGCAUCCCUAAUUCAGCCGCGAACCUCUCCACUGACUCCCAUGGACGUUGGCGCCUGCGUCGGAAUAUGACGCGACGGAGCAGAACACCUUUAGGAGCGGGGUAAUGUGCUUUCAUGAGCUCCACGGCCUUUGCGAAAGUAGGCGCGGGGCCAAGAGUUCCCAACACGCGCUGUCCCUCCGCUCCCAGACAGUGCAGCAGCAGUGCACGGUACCUCCACUCCGGAACAGUGUCCAGGCCGGCAGCGGUGAUAAACGUUUGGAACAAGGUAAUCCAGAGGGGCCACGGCACCGGUGGUUCUCCCGGCAGGGCUAGGAAGGGGAGGGGGUGGUAGGCAGCAUCCAGCCAUCCUCGUCGCCAAUGUUGUUAUGUUUCAAUAAUGGAGACUGAGAAAAGAUCCAACGUCGAAGCUGUUAUGUUCGUUCCUUAGCCUAUUAUUCUACUUCCUGUAGUUUGGUCUGGCUGGUGAAAGAACAAAACAAGAGUUGAGAGACACGCAGAGUUAGAUCUGAAUAACGGAGUCAUAAUUUUGACUCCUCCCAGAGGGCAACGCAGUUAAGUUUCGUUUUGUCCGCCAUUACGCCGAUGGUCAUUUCAGCUGCAACCGAUCUGGAUAAAAGUCUGGAAAGUCUGCUAGGAAAAUAACAACGAUGGAGGCAACUGUUAGGGUGAAAUAUAAGGACAGAAAGAAGUACUUCUUCCUAACAUCACCUUUUCAAUUCGAAGUAUUUUUGGAAAGUGAUUCCUUCAGUUCUAGUACGAUUGGCGAUGGUGAGGCUUCCUUCAGUUCUGGUACAAUUGGCGAUGGAGAGCCUUCAUCAGGAUCUGAUGACACAGCAAUAGUGAUCAGAAAUCCCUCAGAAAAAAGACAUGAAGAGGACCGUCGUCUGGGUCGAAUGAUUGAGGACAUCCUCAAGAGUAGCCCUGGAGCACAAGCCCCCCUAGGAGAUUGAAGGAGGAAUACGCCAAAGGAAUCAUCUGCCUUUUUCCUUACUUGGCUGACCCCCGGAGCAAGCUUGGCUAUGAACAUUUUUAUAAUGCUGAAGAUGGAAGUGGGUAUUUGGCUUGGAGAAUCAAAACUCUGCAGAAAGAGGUGUCCGAGGGGCGAAUGAAACGGUCACGACAACUUCAAACAGGCCAGUGAUUAAUUUGGAACUUGACCACUCGUUUAUUUGGUCUAGGUUUUCUUUUGAGUAUUAAACUGGCAUGUUGUCCCAAACCUUUAGGUGAGCCAACUUCACACAGGGAUCCAUUGAAAGAAGACAUCCAAUGGGACGAACAGCAGUGUCAAGAAGCAAUUGCCCUGAUGAAGCAUUCUACGGAUGAAGUUGUAGUGAAGGAGAAAAUGAGGCUAACCCUGGCCUAUCGUCAGAAGUUGCUGCACGAUCCUGAGAACUCAGCCGACAUCCUAUCUGUUUUUCCUCGUUUCUUGGACAUUCCAGGUUUGAUUGUUCAAGAUUUCAGGAGUCUUUUUGGUGACGCAACCUCUGCAAAGAUGUUGGAAAAGUGGACCACCAACUUUCAAGCAAAGGUUGUAACUCAGUGUCGUGGGCUUACACUGACUGGAGAUGUACAAGACCUCAUCCAAAAUGCUGAAGCCACUGAAGUAGAUGAUGGCUGGGACAGUGACAUGUCAUCAAUGCUGUUGCUGGUUCACCUUCUGCCACCUUCAAGCCAAGGCGGAAAAAAAACCAGGGAAAAUCUCAGCCAGACAAGCAUGCGACAGUCUUGUAAAAUUCAUCAAGGUGAGCUUUGUGUGGAACAAAAAGGGUUGGAAAAUACUUCCUCUUUUAUGGGGGAUUAUCACGCUGAUACGUAGUACUUCCGCAUUCGGUGUUCAUUGUGCACUGUGACAUCCCGUGAAUCACUCAUCACUCUGGCGAACUGAUGAUGGAGGACCGGCAGUUCACUUUCACGACAUCCCUGGUACAUGUUUGAGUAGAAACACUAUUCAACAGGGAUGUAGCCUUUUAAAUCA